GCCUAUGGCCAUGCUACCCUGAACAAGCCCGAUCCUGUCUGAUCUUGGAAGCUAAGCAGGGUUGGGCCUGGUUAGUACUUGGAUGGGAGACUACCUAGGAAGACCAGGUGCUGUAGGUA
rnacentral:rRNA from 1 species